GAUCCGCUAGCUCAGUUGGCAGAGCAACUGCCUUUUAAGCAGUGGGUCCGGGGUUCGAAUCCCCGGCGGGUCACCA
rnacentral:tRNA from 6 species